UGGGGAAUAUUGCACAAUGGGCGCAAGCCUGAUGCAGCCAUGCCGCGUGUGUGAAGAAGGCCUUCGGGUUGUAAAGCACUUUCAGCGAGGAGGAAGGUGGUGAGCUUAAUACGCUCAUCAAUUGACGUUACUCGCAGAAGAAGCACCGGCUAACUCCGUGCCAGCAGCCGCGGUAAUACGGAGGGUGCAAGCGUUAAUCGGAAUUACUGGGCGUAAAGCGCACGCAGGCGGUUUGUUAAGUCAGAUGUGAAAUCCCCGGGCUCAACCUGGGAACUGCAUUUGAAACUGGCAAGCUAGAGUCUCGUAGAGGGGGGUAGAAUUCCAGGUGUAGCGGUGAAAUGCGUAGAGAUCUGGAGGAAUACCGGUGGCGAAGGCGGCCCCCCUGGACGAAGACUGACGCUCAGGUGCGAAAAGCGUGGGGAGCAAAACAGGAUUAGAUACCCUGGUAGUCCACGCUGUAAAACGAUGUCGAUUUUGGAGGUUGUGCCCUUGAGGCGUGGCUUCCGGAGCUAACGCGUUAAAUCGACCGCCUGGGGAGUACGGCCGCAAGGUUAAAACUUAAAUGAAUUGCGGGGUCUAGCUG
rnacentral:rRNA from 1 species